GACGAACGCUGGCGGCGUGCCUAAUACAUGCAAGUCGAGCGCAGGAAAUCAUCCGAACCCUUCGGGGGACGUUGGUGGAAUGAGCGGCGGACGGGUGAGUAACACGUAAAGAACCUGCCCUCAGGUCUGGGAUAACCACGAGAAAUCGGGGCUAAUACCGGAUGGGUCAUCGGACCGCAUGGUCCGAGGAUGAAAGGCGCUUUAGCGGCGCCUGGGGAUGGCUUUGCGGUGCAUUUGCUAGUUGGUGGGGUAAUGGCCCACCAAGGCGACGAUGCAUAGCCGACCUGAGAGGGUGAUCGGCCACACUGGGACUGAGACACGGCCCAGACUCCUACGGGAGGCAGCAGUAGGGAAUCUUCCACAAUGGACGAAAGUCUGAUGGAGCAACGCCGCGUGAACGAUGAAGGCCUUCGGGUCGUAAAGUUCUGUUGUAAGGGAAGAACAAGUGCCGCAGGCAAUGGCGGCACCUUGACGGUACCUUGCGAGAAAGCCACGGCUAACUACGUGCCAGCCGCCGCCGUAA
rnacentral:rRNA from 1 species